rnacentral:tRNA from 1 species
CGCGGGGUAUAGCAGUGGUAGCUUUCCUGGUUGACUUCCAGGAGGUCGGUUGUUCGAUUCAGCCCCCCGCAA